ACCUGACAUAAGAUGAUGAUACCAUUGGUUGAGAUAUUGAAAGAAACAUGUUUUUAUUGGUCCUCAUUUUCCCUCCACUUUUUGUCUGUAAGAAAGAUUUCUUUGUGUGAUUUGGCACUUUCGAGUCAGAUCUUGGAGAAGCCACUUGGGCUUACUAUUCUACUACUUUUUGCUGAACCUGGACAUGGCUUCAUACUCCUGACCCUGGGUCGACUGAAUAUUGAUUACAAUUGGAAGAGUCUAGGAACUCGGCCCAUAGCAAGAAUUCAGGAUAUCCAUGUAAAGAUAUGACAGACAUAUAUUAAUUCAUGAAAUUCGAUGAUAUACAUGCAAGAGUAAACGUGAACUGAUU